UACGUAGGUGGCGAGCGUUGUCCGGAAUUACUGGGUGUAAAGCGCGCGUAGGCGGUCGGCCAAGUCUGCGGUGAAAUCGCUCGGCUCAACUGGGCGGGGUCAGCGGAUACGGCGUGGCUGGAGCAAGCUAGGGGGCAAUGGAAUUCCCGGUGUAGUGGUGGAAUGCGUAGAUAUCGGGAGGAACACCAGUGGCGAAGGCGGUUGCCUGGAGCUUUGCUGACGCUGAUGCGCGAAAGCGUGGGGAGCGAUCCGG
rnacentral:rRNA from 1 species